ACGAACGCUGGCGGCGUGCUUAACACAUGCAAGUCGAACGGAAAGGCCCUGCUUGCAGGGUACUCGAGUGGCGAACGGGUGGGUAACACGUGGGUGAUCUGCCCUGCACUUCGGGAUCAGCCUGGGAAACUGGGUCUAAUACCGGAUAGGAGCCAUUUUUAGUGUGAUGGUUGGAAAGUUUUUUCGGUGUAGGAUGAGCUCGCGGCCUCUCAGCUUGUUGGUGGGGUUAUGGCCUACCAAGGCGGCGACGGGUAGCCGGCCUGGGAGGGUGGACGGCCACAUUGGGACUGGGACACGGCCCAGACUCCUACGGGAGGCAGCGGUGGGGAAUAUUGCACAAUGGGCGCAAGCCUGAUGCAGCGACGCCGCGUGGGGGAUGACGGCCUUCGGGUUGUAAACUCCUUUCGCUAGGGACGAAGCUUUUUGUGACGGUACCUAGAUAAGAAGCACCGGCUAACUACGUG
rnacentral:rRNA from 1 species